UCCCCAGUGGCUCAGAUGGUAAAGAACCUGCCUGUAAUGCAGGAGACCUGGGUUCAAUUCCUGGAUUGGGAA
rnacentral:tRNA from 1 species